CUGGUUCUGACGAAGCGAACGCAGGGUCACGGACUCACAGUGAGAGACCAGAGAGCAACGAGGUGAGAGAUCCAGAGACAGAGAGUGACGAACUGACGACGCCGAGUGAGUGACAAACUUACGACGAGGGGAGAGACGAGGGCACGAGGUUGGCUGGGGAGGGGGUGGUUCCACCCAGAGACGAGGCUUAGGGAGUUAGGGUUAUUCAAAGAGGGGGUGGGGGGUGGUGGGUCUGAAACACGCCGUUUCAGAAAAAAGAAAUUAAAAAAAUUAAUAACUUGACCCGGACCGAAUUGGAUUAACCGGCCCGUUCACUAGGUUCGCAUAAAACCACCGGAUCGAACCGGGUUCAACUGGAUCUGUGGCAUGGACAGUUCAACGAGUGAUUUGGGUUCGGUCAGAUGACCGAAUUUUCGGUCGAACCAGUCAGAUAGAGUCGGAUUUGAUAACUAUGAGAAAAAGUCGCCGGAGGGGGAUUAGGUUUGCACUAGUAAAAGAGGGGAAGAGAAGGGAUAAGUAAACGACGUAGUUAUAGCUAAGACGUAUCGAAAUUCAGUGCAGAUAUAUUUGGUAAUUUGGAUUUGACAAGUAUUGAUCAUCAUUGUGGCUAAUUGAGAAUAUUGGAAGAAAGCUUAGGGCAUGCAAUGAGUUCGACAGAAGAUAGAACCAUCAUCUCACUCAUCGAAUUGACGAAUACCUCUCAAGUCUCAAGGCUAGCAAUCGGAGAAA